AUGGGCUGAAAAAUGCUCUGCUGUAUGGCCCUUUGUCUCCUGGGAGCAGUGAGGGCUCUAGCAGGCUCUGUCUUCUGACUUGUGGGACCUGUAAAUUCCAGAGUCAUGUAACCUGAAACCUCAAAGUCAAAGAAUAGCUAGCAACUAUGAAAUAGUCCCUUCUCUCUGGACACCUCUCUGUGCUCUGGUACCAGAAGACCCUGGGCCCCAGUUCAAUACUACAAUAAAGAGGAGAAAGGAAGAGGAAAUGUCCUUUAUUCAAUUUACAGCACACCAAUUUGGUGACUAGCAUCCUGAAUUGAAUCUGAGCUCUCUAGAGCCAAAGGACUCUGCACUGUUCUUCACAG